AGAGUUUGAUUCUGGCUCAGGAUGAACGCUGGCGGCGUGCUUAACACAUGCAAGUCGAGCGAAGCACCUAAGAAAGAUUCUUCGGAUGAAUUCUUUUGUGACUGAGCGGCGGACGGGUGAGUAACGCGUGAGUAACCUGCCUCAUACAGGGGGAUAACAGUUAGAAAUGACUGCUAAUACCGCAUAAGACCACGGUACCGCAUGGUACAGUGGUAAAAACUCCGGUGGUAUGAGAUGGACCCGCGUCUGAUUAGCUAGUUGGUGGGGUAACGGCCUACCAAGGCGACGAUCAGUAGCCGACCUGAGAGGGUGACCGGCCACAUUGGGACUGAGACACGGCCCAA
rnacentral:rRNA from 1 species